AUAAUAUGGAGUAUACAAUUAAGUAUUUAAAGAGAUUUGUAAGGAUACCUAGCAGAUAUAUUCGAAAGGAAGGAAAUCCUAAAGUAAUAAUAUUCAAUUUGUACAUUAUUACAAUCCUAAGGAAAACCAAAAUAGUAGAUUACGCUGGGAACGAAAACAUUUCAGUACCAGUAGGAAAGGAAAUCAACUGAGACUUCUGUAGUAAUGGUGAGUGAAACAGAAUGAGCUACAAAUUGAAGAAUAAAAAAGGAUACAAGAAAUAUUGUGGAAUUCAAUAGAAAUAUUUGUAAAAAUAUACCAAAGAAGGUGAAAGUCCUAUCAUUGUACCAUGCUUCAGUAACUCUUUUUUAUUCAUUUUAUUCAAUUUGAAUCAAGUAAUAUGAAGACGGCUGCUUUGUAUGAAAGAGGGGAUACCAUUCUCCAAAGCUAAGUAUAAUAUAUCUAGCGAUAGUGAAGAGUAACGUGAGUGAAAGGUGAAAAGUAAGUGAAUGACUAGUGAAAAGAUCUUGAAUUACAAAUCUCAUAAGCAGUUGGAGUUCUUUUCAGAAAGGAAUGACAACGUACCUUUUGCAUAAUGGGUCAGCAAGUGAAUGAAAAAUGCAAGAUGAAGAAUCUUAGUGAAAGCAAUCUUUUUUAGAGAAAGUAUUUUUUAUUCGAUCCGAAACCAGAUGAUCUUUUUAUGGCCAGGUUUGAAAGGACCGAACAGUAUAAUGUUGCAGUAUUAUCUGAUGAGCUGUGAAAAGGAGUGAAAUGCUAAUCUAAUCUGGUGAUAGCUGAUAUUCUGCGAAAUCUAUUUUAGUAGAAAGUUUAUGAAAAAAAUUCUUCUUUGUAUAGCACUGAUUUCCAUUUCUAGAAAUGCUCGUCAUUUCUACAUAGAAUAAAUUAGGGGGUUAUAAACUCUACUAUUGGAAGUUAACCUCAGAAGAAGAAGAAAUUGUUGAUGAACUGACAGUCUAUUUGUGAUAAGGUAAAUAGACAAAAGGGAAACAGCCCAGAUCAAAUAUUAAGGUACCCUAAAAAAUAUUUAGUGAAAAUAAGAAAGUUAUUUAUCUAAGACAACUAUGAAGUAAGCUUGGAAGUAGCUACCUUUUAAUGAAAGUGUAACAACUCAAUAGUCUAAUAAGGAUAAAAAGCAUCGAAAAUUAACGGGUCUAAAUAUUUUACCAAUAUUUUGAUAAAUCCUAUUCCUCUCAUUGGAAUAGUAUUUAAGGUAGCAGAACACUUAAUAUUCAGUUUGAAGAAAUGAAAUAAUUCAUUUUGGACUAUAUUAAAGAGAGAAUGCUGGCAUGAGUAACGAUUAAGAAGUUAAAAUACUUCUCGCCGCACACGAAAGGGUUUCAUGGAAAAGGUGAUCUUCCAUGAUUUAUACGGUUUCUAAGAAGAAUGAAACGAAGUGUUCUUCUUUGAUGAAAUAGAAAAUAUUCAUCCUUAAAUAAGGAUCUAGAAAAAAUAUUAUCAUUGAAAAAUGGACCGUACCUUAAACCGACACAGGUUCGUGGGUAGAGUAUACUAAGGCGUAGAGAUAAGACUAGUGAAGGAACUCGGCAAAUUGCUUUCGUAAGUUUGACGAUAAGAAAGAAAUUUACAAGAAAUUGUAAAUUUGGCACAGAAGUGGGGGCUCCGACUGUUUACUAAAAACACAGCAACUUGCUAAGACGAAAAGUACUUGUAUAAGUUGUGAACUCUGUCCAAUGCCAACUGUGUAAAGGAGGUAAUUUAAGUUUUUUAGGAAAAUUUAUUGUUACUAACUGAUGCAGUGGUCAAUGACGGUCUUAACCAUAAGGAUCUGAAAGUAGCGAAAUUCCUUGGCCAUUAAAUGUGGUCCUGCAUGAAUGAGGUAACGUGGCCCUGCUGUCUCCACUAGUUUCUCAGUGAAAUUGAAUUAGCCGUGCAGAUGCGGUUUGCCUUCCGGAGGACGCGAAGACCCUAUGCAGCUUUACUGUAGUUUGAUAUUGUUUUUCAUUAAAUAUAGUGUAGAAUACAAGGGAGUGUAAACGUCAGUGAAAUACCUUGAUAUAUUUGUAUGAAAAACUGAUUCGUUAGAAGACAGUUUCAAAUGGUCAGUUUUGCUGGGGCGGUAGCCUCUAAAAAAGUAUCAGAGGCCUUCAAAGGUAUGUUUUUAUUAGUCAGAAACUAAUGAAAAAAUAUUUUCAACAAAAUGUAAUAACUAAACAUGCUUUACUGAAAGAUUGAUGGAUCAAUCAGUUACGCAAGUAGGAUAUAGUGAUCCGGUGAUCCAGAAUGGAAUGAUCAUCGCUCAAGAAAUAAAAGUUACGCUAGGGAUAACAGGUUUAUCGUUUGCAAGAGUUCAUAUUGUCCAAACGGUUUGACACCUCGAUUAAUAAAAAAUAAGAGUCGUAGUCGAGGAUAAAUUGGGUGAAAUGCGGGAAACUCUCAAAGAUUCUAAAAAUCUAUGAGACAAUCCGCAGCCAAGUAUACUUACGGUAUUUUUUAUUAUCAUUUAUAUCUUUAUGAUAAUAAUUAUGUAAGAUAAAGGCUCAACGACUAGAAAGUGAGUUAUACCAACAAUAAUCUUUCCACGAGCGCCCAACUAUACCUAUUCGGUAUAGAAGAUAUAGUCUAAUCCAUUAGGUGACUAAUGGUAUGUAAGUAUAAACAACUUACAAUCUUUAUCUAAUUCAAAGUAAAGUCCCAUUCUUUAAAGAUAAAGAGAAAAAUGGUCGACUCUUCUCAUCCUCCAGGUGUAGUCGCUUGG
rnacentral:sRNA from 1 species